rnacentral:lncRNA from 1 species
CUCGCAUCAAUUUAAAGAGAGUAAUGUUCAUAAAAGUGACAUUAUCUCGAUAGAGCAAGUGAAAAAUGAAUCCAUAUACUAGAGUUUGUGUAACAUCCCGAAGGCUUCUAUAUUUUCAUUUGAAACUUAAAGGUGAAGUUUAAAAAGUUUAAGGAGGACUAAAAAUACAUUUAUCAGAGGAUAUGCAUUUAAUUUGGAAAAAAGAUUACUUAAGGACAAACACCGAACAUAAGUUAUAAGUUACUGAAAAUCAAAUUUGAGUUAUAUAUGCAAAUUUUAUAAAGUUAAUAGAAUAAAAUUUUGAAAUAUGCAGGUUUCAUGGGAUGUUAAAGCCAAACGGUAAUUGUAAAGUUGAUGCUUAGUACUGAAUUUAUUUGGUCCAAUUGGAAGUUGUGUCGAUGAGGAAUUUAGGCACCUUAUUGAGAAGUUUGAAAAGUGGAGAGCUUAAAUAAUGACUUUUUAGUCUCUCCAUUGACUUGAGUGAGAAUGUUGAAAAAUAUACAACUCUAUUAUUAUUAAAAGGAGAUUCAAAGCUCAAUCAGAAAAGUAAAGCAACAAGCCAAUCAACCAAGGGCUAGGUGCAAUUUCUUGAAUUGUUGAAAAAUAUUAGAUCUCAUAUUGUUGACACGCUAAAAGUGCAGCCCAAUUCGAAUAGUCCAAAGAAUGAAGUCCAACUGGACAAUUCAAGAUAAAUGCCCAAAUAGGGUUAUUAAUGAAUGCAGUGGAAACUCACGAACGCGGUAACACCAUCGCCCAAACUUACAAGACGUCCAAGAUCUGAGCGAAUGAAGUGCCUUGCAGUCGCCCAGAGUUAUAACCCCGUUCUCACCCAAACCUUCGAAUCGCCCAGGACCUUAGCAAACAUAAGGAAUUAUGGUUAUCCAAAAGUACAGUUAUCGAAGCAGUUAUUGGGUAAUCUUAUCACGUUCCAUGAUUCAAGAUAUUCAGUUGAAGACGGUUGAACUACAAAGAGUAGUGGCAGCAUUUAGAGACGGCAGUUCCACGAUAAGUUGGCCACCAUGAAGAAAGUGGGCAGUUAUAAAGCAAUUAACCAGUUUCUAUGCGGUUGAUCAAAAAGAGAGCAUUAAGGGAAUAUAAAAGGAAGAAAAGACAUAGAGCAAAGGACCCCGAAUCAAACACUCUCAAAUAGAGAAUAUGUAAUUUCAAUUCCUUAGUUUAGACUUAAAACAUUUCUUUUCAGUACUCGUGUACUUGCGCCCCUUGGAGGCAUUCUAUUUAAGUUCCAAU